rnacentral:lncRNA from 10 species
AUUUAAAUUUUUUUUAAUGAUGUCUUUUUUGGCAGUGCACAGCCAGAGGACAACACAUCACACACAAGAAACAGUUGUGCUCAUGUGAUGGGGGCCUCAGCACUAGGAAGGAGUGGACUGUUGGCGCACGCAGCAGCUUGAAUAAAUCUGAAAGUCACUACGCUGCGUAAGAGAAGCCAAAUAAAGCGCAUGCUGUGUACAGAGGGUGUCGAGAAUGCCUCCUACGUGACGGAAAGCAGAUCCGUGGUUCCCUGCAGACUGGCAGGAGCAGAUUCCAAAGGCACAGGAAGAAGCUUGCAGUACAAAGAUAAAAAUCUAAAGUGGUUGCUGUGGAGGACAGGGGUCAGUGGUGGAAGUGAGACCGAAAUAGACUCUGAAGUAAUAUCUGGACUUUGAAAUUGCAGCUGCUCCCAACCCCAGAACCUUUGCUGUCUUGGGACGGAUCACCGCUGCAAGAGGGGAAGUUGCUACUGUGAUGAAUUCUGCCAUGUGGCACCAGACUGCCACCCAGACCACAGUGUCCUCUGCAACCCUGCUUCUCAGAUGACCAAGAUGGUGCUGCAGAUGGUGCUGAGGAUGGAGAACCCACCAAGCCCCGCUAGGAGCCACCUAGACUGGAUGCAGAGCAUGGUUCAGUGAGUUCUCCAAACCAGCCUCCCAGGAAUGCCAUUCAACAUGGCUGUGAGGAGAAUAAAGAAGAGAGCCUGACUCCUCUCCUGAGGCCCCUUCCCCACCCUGAGCCAGCAGGAUCCACGGAGCAGAGGUCAUCUGUCCCCAGCUUGGCCCACUGAGGCCAGCAUGGCUGGGCCCAGGAUGCUUGUCUCUCAGCUCCCAUCCUGUGUACUUCCACAUUGGUUUAACCAGAGGAAAACCGAAAUCUACAAUUGUCAUAAACACAUUUAAAUGUGCGUAGAAUCAGCCAUACAAAUUGUGAAACAUA